GAUACUAUAAGAAGUCGAGUCUAGAUUAUCUUAAGACUUAGGGAUGUUUGGCUUAUGUCAAGAGACCGAUGGCUGAUAAGUUAGAGUAUAGAUCUAUUAUAGCUCAUUUUAUAGGAUAUUCAAAAGAAUCCAUCAGAUACUACUACUUUUCACAAGAUCAUAAUGUGAUUAUGAGUCGAAACAUCAUAUUCUUAGAAAAAUAAUUUAUCCAAGAUGGUGGC
rnacentral:lncRNA from 1 species